CAUCUCCACAGGGCUACCCUGAAUUAGGAACACCUCUACACGGGGAAACAUGGUCGACAGACCCAUCAUGUCCAGAUAGUCCUGAGGAAACCAUUGGGGUGAAACAGAUCUGUUUGGUUGAGGAUAUUAAUAAGUAUCCUGCAGGUCCAAUCGUGGGGGCAGGUGAGGACUGGAGGGGAGUGGUCAGUGUGUUGAAAUGACUUUCUGCAGAGGUUCGCUACUUCCAGAGGUAUGUGUAGUUGAAAAUCAAACACAGUCAACACAGAAAUGUUAAAAUAACGUCAAGAUCGAACAGCUAUCAUUUACCUUUGAACGCAUCGUUGUACGUGCAUGGCUGACAUAGCGGCUCUGAUGCGUUUACGGCCAUAGCUGAGUGUCUGGAGCCCCGGCUGCGGUGAUCACACCCACUCACCCUAAACCUGCUCCACUGACAAAAGCCAUACAAAGCCACGGAAACAAGACCGUCGAAGACCCCACUCGUUUAUUUUUCUGCAUCUGGUCUGUACCGAGAUGCGUUCAGGUAUCUAGCGUUUAUUCCGGGAGAACAGACGCCGACACGGUUGUCGAUCUUUGUCCGUGAUCCGUAGUUUCCUCGCAGGUGACGACGCCCGCUCGUAUCCGCAAAGUGACGAACUCAUCCAUAAUAGACCCAAGAUGAACCAUCCAUGUAAGCGAUAAAACUACAAAUGAAAUUAAAAAGAACACGGGAGUGUCCACACCCUUCAGUUGAUUCAGCAGCCAUGCAGUUAGAGCCGGUGAAUUUCAUAUGCGCGCGCGCGCGCGCAAGCACACACACAUAACGGGGAUCAGGCUUUGUGAUGAUGUCAUCUUUUUAAGAUGCGGUUCUCAGCAUCACUUGUUGAUGGAGUUUCCUUGAGUGACCGACUCAUAGAAACUAACAGUACAAGUAUUUUCACCUGCCGGGUUGGGCCACACAGAUGGGUCACUGGAGAUUUUUCAGGGACAUUGAAUUAAUUAGCGUUUUUUUAGAGCUCGGUCUCAUUCUUUUUUCUCUUUGUUUCUAAAUAAGUACAGCCUAGCUUUCUACGCUAACCUACAGGGGGCAGGGGGUGAUAUUAACACAGCUUCAAUACCCUGUUCUAUCAGGCGAGUGUGACACGAUUUCAAACCGAGAAAUUACCCCCCCACCAGAACAAGUGAUAGACUUUGCUAGCUGUUAGCUUUUGGAAAUAAGUUAUUCAAUUAACUACAGUUUAGGAAGCAGAAUGUAGGACUAUUUUUAUAACCAGACCUAACAUUCCAAUUUUAAAGUAAUAUAAAAUACCUCAGCUUUGUCCCUCAUCAGAUGUCUCUGCAGAGUUCAGAGUGAUUUGGCAGUUGUACCUCAGUUACCCUUUCUAAUGCACCACACCCUUGGCUUUGGGGAUUAGCUGGUGUUGACCUGGAACCUUCCACACAGCAGGCUGGAGCUUUACCACUAUAACACUGCAGUUCAAAUAGUCUAAAAUAUUUCACCUAAAUUCAUUCGAUACACUAUAUACUUAAGAAUUCAAACUGGCAAACACAUAUAUACAUUCAUAUACAGAGUGAAAUUAAUAUAUACAGUAUAUGCACAAUUACUGAUAUUUUAAUGACCUAUAACUUAAGAUGUUAGUGGCAGCACUUGAAGUCUGCAAAUAACUAAUGACUUAGCUUUAGUUGUUCAUUAUUUCAUAGAUGAUCAUGGAAGCACAAACCACCUGUGGGCUUGGUUUAUUAUUAAAUACAAAAAUCAGACAUGAUUCCUCAAUUAACUCGAUCAAUACUCAAAAUCCAUCCUUAUAAAAUAGAAUUGAUGUAUAAAGUUCAUCACAGUUUUACAGUAUCCAAAGUAUACAGUCUGAAAUAAAAAUCCAGGUCUUGGAAAAGAUGAAUAUAUUUAAAUAGUGUAUCGAGGAGUAAAGCUACUGAUACUACUGUAAUACCAGUGUGGUGUAGAAAAGCGA